UCCGUGGCAGUUGAGGGAGGUGUCUGGGGAGGUAUGGGGUCAUAACCAUCAUUAAGGCGGUGCUGAGCCAGGCCAUCCAAGAUGCAUCUCAACUUGCUCCCCAGUACCCCUGGUAUCCUUUUCCUCAAGAGUGUGGCCCUCCUGGCCAUGUCAUUCUUCGUCCCGUACUGGGCUCUCUUCUACCACCACGAACAUGAGUUCAUGGUGUUUGCCAGCCCAUGGAUCAUAUGUGUGAGAAAACAGUGUAAGAUCAUCAAGAACAUUGGACAUGCAGAAGGCUGUCGUGCCUCGUUGCUGAUGUCACUGCUGCUGUCAUUGCCGCUGGGGCUGAGUGUGCCGGCACAGUGCACUGGAAUCUUGUCUAGCUCCCUGCCAGAGCUCAUGCCCUUCUUCACAAGUCUCAUCUGCCUGACAGUCGGUAGCGUUGAAUUCCUCGCCUUCGUAUUCUUCCGCCUCAUGUUGAACCGGCUCCAGUUUUUAUUAAGGGAAUUCGAUGUGUGGCUCAACUGGCCGGCCUACUUGCUCCUCUUCUCUUCAGUGAUCUACUUCGUUGUUGGGUCCUUCCUCUUCCAUCAUCAUCUUCAUCACUCUACCUCUAUGACACAGUCGUCAGGGAUGCAGUCAGCUCCCCAAAGCCCAGAAGUCUCACAGAGUUCUGACCGUUCUCUGGUCCCCAAAGAUAGUGAGCAACCUGAAACCUCACAGACCAAAACACCCAUGUCUUCUAGAGCUUCUGAAUCAUCUGGGCCCCAAGGCCCAUAAAACCUUCAUUCUCUCUGAGGAUUUCCGACAGUGGCUCAAAGUCCCAGAGAUUCAGAACUUCCUUUUCCCAAAUGUUUAACAGAUCCUGGAGCUCUGAGCAGCCUUGGGUCUCCCAAAACCCUAAAACCUCCUCAUACCCCUUGGGCUUUAGGGUUCAAUCAAUCUCUAGGAAGCCCCCAUGUCUCAACCACUCCAGUUCUCAGAGUUCUACUUCAAGACCCACAGACCUCUAAAGUUUUGCUCCCAAGAUCUCAAAGGUACCUAUCUCCAUCACCCCUUCCCCAUGGCCAUAACUCUCUUCUGAAUGGUAAAAAUAUUGACUUUUAGAAGCGAGCACUUCCCUGCUGGUGGAGGUGUCUAAACUUCCUCCUUUCCCAUAUCAUAACUCCCCUUCCCCCAGCAAAGUAAGAUUUUCCCUCUAUGAGAUUUGUCUCCACCCUCUUGAGGUCCUUGGAGAAAAUGAGGGUGUAGACAGGAACCUGGAUAUUGAGUGUGGUGAAGCCAAGUGGACCAGAAACAGAAAGCCAGAGAAUAAGGAAGAUCUACUGAGACAGAAGGAUGGAAAGAGAUGGUUGUCAAUUUCCUAGAUGAAAUUGCUGUCAUUAAAGAAAGCCUGGGGUUUCUUCCCCAACCCAGUGUUCCACCAUCAUCUUAAUGGCCAACUUGAUUCCAUUAUGGUUAUCCCCAGCUGUAACCCUGCUCUCCAUCUGUACCCCCUCCUCUACCAUCCCACUCUGAUCACUAAUGUCCUUCCCAACUCCACCUCUAAACCCAUUCCCUUUAGCCCCAAACCUAAACCCAUCCUCUAUCCUUUCCCUUAUGCCUAACUUCAAUUCCACUACCUUCCCCAAGCCACCUCCAACUCACCCCACCCUCAAAUCCAUAUCCAUUCUCUAUCUUUAUCUCUGCUCCUAACUCCAAGCUUCAUUCUGUCCCCCUUCCUCUGCCAUGAACUGGAGGGGGGUGAUGAUGUCAGUCUUGGGGGUCUUGGAAGGUUCUA
ensembl:lncRNA